GCCUUCGUGGUGUAGUUGUCAGCACGCUCGACGUGUAUUCGAGAGGUCCGUGGUUCGAGUCCCGGCGAGGGCA
rnacentral:tRNA from 1 species